rnacentral:rRNA from 1 species
UACGUAGGGGGCAAGCGUUGUCCGGAUUUAUUGGGCGUAAAGAGCGUGUAGGCGGCCAGGUAGGUCCGCUGUGAAAACUCGAGGCUCAACCUCGAGAUGUCGGCGGAAACCAUCUGGCUAGAGUCCGGAAGAGGAGAGUGGAAUUCCUGGUGUAGCGGUGAAAUGCGCAGAUAUCAGGAAGAACACCCGUGGCGAAGGCGGCUCUCUGGGACGGUACUGACGCUGAGGAGCGAAAGCGUGGGGAGCGAACAGG